ACUCGAGUGGCGAACGGGUGAGUAACACGUGGGUGAUCUGCCCUGCACUCUGGGAUAAGCCUGGGAAACUGGGUCUAAUACCGGAUAGGACCAUGCUUUAGUGUGUGUGGUGGAAAGUUUUUUCGGUGUAGGAUGAGCCCGCGGCCUAUCAGCUUGUUGGUGGGGUAAUGGCCUACCAAGGCGGCGACGGGUAGCCGGACUGAGAGGUUGGUCGGCCACAUCGGGACUGAGAUACGGCCCAG
rnacentral:rRNA from 1 species